CUGGACAGGUCACGGUCCCACGGAAAAUACAACUGACCGUGCAGCCACUGAAGAAGCUACGGCAGUAAUGAGCACCUCUGGGGCACACUGAAGGAGGAUUCUAUACCCUCGGGAGAUUGCGGCAUCGUUCUGCUGGUUCAUCCAAGUAUUAAGCUGAUGCAGGCUGUGCAUUAGCAACGCCAUUCCAAACAGGAGUCACAUCCUCCUGCUUAUACUUACAGUGGAUGCUCCUCGGACACAGUGAGCGCAAGGUGGACGAACCUGAACUUGGAUCUACCCAUCGUCGGAAUAACAUCGCCGAGACUUCUCACGAUAGAUCCUCUAUGUCAG